GCACACCCAGUCCGUCUGGUAGCCGCCGUACAGGCGGGGCAGGGCCGACCCCGCGUCCACCAGCACCCGAGCCCCCUGAGACAGCUACCGUGCCGAUGUGGGGAUAGAGUCACGCUAUAUGGCGUUACUGCCGCAUUU